rnacentral:misc_RNA from 1 species
GAUGAAGAACGUAGCGAAAUGCGAUAAGUAAUGUGAAUUGCAGAAUUCAGUGAAUCAUCGAAUCUUUGAACGCACAUUGCGCUCGCUAGUAUUCUGGCGGGCAUGCCUGUCCGAGCGUCAUUUCAACCCUCAAGCCCCCGGGCUUGGUGUUGGGGAUCGGCGAGCCUCCGCGCCCGCCGUCCCCUAAAUCUAGUGGCGGUCUCGCUGUAGCUUCCUCUGCGUAGUAGCACACCUCGCACUGGGAAACAGCGCGGCCACGCCGUUAAACCCCCAACUUCUGAACGUUUGACCUCGGAUCAGGUAGGAAUACCCGCUGAACUUAAGCAUAUCAAUAAGCGGAGGA